GGGCUCAUCGUCUAGUGGAUAGGACAGGGAUCUUCUAAAUCCUUUACGCGGGUUCAAGUCCUGCUGAGCCCA
rnacentral:tRNA from 1 species